rnacentral:rRNA from 1 species
UAUAACGACUCUCGGCAACGGAUAUCUCGGCUCUCGCAUCGAUGAAGAACGCAGCGAAAUGCGAUACUUGGUGUGAAUUGCAGAAUCCCGUGAACCAUCGAGUCUUUGAACGCAAGUUGCGCCCGAAGCCAUCCGGUCGAGGGCACGUCUGCCUGGGCGUCACACACC